AGAGAAGGCAGGGGGUGAGAAUAGAGAAGUUGAUGGGACCAAUGCAGUGGAGAGCCUUGCCUAUCUUGUUAAGGAGACUAUACUUGAGCCCAUUGGCCAUGGGAACUUGCUGAGAAGUUCUAAUCAAGGACAUAUUCAUAGGCAGACCAUCUGGUUGAAGUGGGAGGAGAUAUUUGAAGAGAAUGUCUGUGAAGAAGUGAAAGGGGUGAUGAAAGAGAACUCUCUAGUGAGAGAUGAUUAUGGAGCCCUUUUGAGUGAUAGCAAGAGUUGUGUGGCUGUCUGGGAACUAAAAAGGAAUAAGAUUAAUGUAAAUAUAAACCGAGACACCCCAUUAUUUGAGAAGAUUUUUCUGGCUAGUAAUUCCAGUACCAUGUUGAAAAGUGGCAAGAGUGAACAUCCCUGUCUUGUUCCUGGUCUUAGAAGAAAAGUUUGAAACUUUCAUCAUUGAGUAUGAUGUUGGUGUGGAUUUGCCACAUAUGGCCUUUAUUUUGUAGAGAAAGCUAUUGUUUUACUCUGAUGCUUUUGCAAAAGUGUUUCAUCUUCAAGAGAUCCAUGGAAAUGACUGACAAGUCAAGAAUUAAUUACAUGGAACUGAAUGAACUGAUGAGGAAGAUAUAUAAUUUAAUGUCUUUUUCUUUAGAACAUUGUUUAUAUUCUCUUGAAGAUUAAAGGAAGUCUUUUCUCUUAAGCCAUCUAUGACUUACAGCAAUUUGAGACCAUGGAAUCCCAGAGAAUGUGAUCCGAGCUGUGAAACCCAGGGUAAAUGAAAAGGAACCCGACCCUUGGCUCCUCUGCUCUUGCAAACUCUCUCUAGAAGUCAUCGAAGGCUUAAGUUGACCCUUGCAAGCCCUCCAACCCCUCUCAGCUUCAGCCAAUAAGACACAGUUGGCCUAUGACUGGCACCUCUAUAAUCACUUAGAGGCUGCUAGGCUUUUAGCAAAGCAUCUCUUCUAACUUCUCAAGUGUUGUUCUUUUACUUGUUUUACUUUUAGACAAUCUUAUGAACCAGCUCCAGUGAGCAGAGAGGCAGGAGGGACAACCCAUCAAUAAAAUAAUUCAGCCAAAGUCAAUUUUGUUAGAGACUUCUCAUGUUGUACUAGGAAAUCUAGGCUACUAAAAAUCAGGGAAAUCAAAUGGAAUCAUUUCUUUUGGUUCUAAAAGGAAAGCUAUCUUUAAAACUAUCUCUUUCAGAUAUCCCAUGCUCUUGGAUUGAAAGAAUUAGUAUUGUUAAAAUGACCAAACUACCCAAAGCAAUCUACAGAUUUAAUGUAAUCCCUAUCAAAUUACCCAUGACAUUUUUCAUAGAAUACUCUUAAAAUUUAUGUGGAACCACAAAAGCCUCAGAUUUCCCAAAGCAGCCCUACAGAAAAAGAACAAAGCAGCAUGCAGCACCCUCCCAGACUUCAGACAAUACUAUAAAGCUACAGUAAUCAAAACAGAGUGAUAUUGGUACAAAAACAGACAUAUGGAUCAACAGCACAGAAUAUAGAAAGCCCAGAAAUAAAUCCACAUAUAUAUAAUCAAUAGUGUAUUCUUGCCUCCUUUGUUGAAAAUCAGUGGGGAAAAGACAGUCUCGUCAGCAAGUGGUGCUGGGAAUGUUGGAAAACCACAUGCAAAUCAAUGAAUUUGGAACAAUCACCCCCUCUCACCAUACACAAGUAUAAACUCAAAAUGGGUUAUAGACUUAAACAUAAGGCACUACACCUUAGAACUCCUAGAAGAGGUCAUGGGCCAAAUAUUCUGACAGAAAUCAUACCAGUGUUUUCCUAGGUCAGUUUCCUAAGGCAAUCAAAAUAAACAAAUGAGACCUAUUCAAAUUUAUAAGCUUCUGC
ensembl:lncRNA